rnacentral:lncRNA from 1 species
AAUAACCCCGAAGUUUUAUUUCUUAUUGAAAAUUCUUUUAAAAAAUCCCAACAAAACAAAGCAGCUGAUAUUUACUUAAUCAUCCCAAGUUAGGGAAAAAAAAUUGAAUAAAAAUGUUUUUUAUAGGAUUAAAUUUCCAUAUUUUUUCAGCUCUAAUUAUGAUAAGGUUCUACAAGAAUUAAUUUUAUUCUUUCUUUGUCUCAUCCUUUUUCCAUCCUAGACAAUGAAAAUAGUUUAAUCUAGCAGUUUUUACAUUGUGGUGCGUACUCCAGAGCUGACUUGUAAAACUUUUUCUUUCAGUGGUUUUAUUGUUCAAGAACUGAUGCUUCCUGUUACUUCUCGCCAUGCAUUUUGGUUUUGUGAAUGAGUAUGCUUAGAUAAAAGAAAAAUACUAAUCAAGUAUAUACCUUUUGUACAGCUUUAUGUUAUCAUUAAAUUAAAAUGAUACCAGAACUGCAGAGGUAACAACUCUUCUGAAAGGCUGAGUCAACAGGAAAGAGAACAGUGAGCAGUGAAUAAAAGAAAUCUGGGAUGCCUUCACUUCAGAUAUUCAGUAAGGAAGAGGAAACAGCACAGGCCCUGCAGUGACCUUACUGUUGGCUGAUUCCAGGGAGCCACCUCAUUAUUCUGACUUGAAACUUCUCCAUCUCCAAAAUCAGAGUUACUCCUGUGUGUCUUCACUGGAAGAAUGCACAUCACAGUCCUGCUCU